CAUUGUCAGCAUUCAUUCUGAAGUCGGCCAUGCUAGCUUCAAGGUCAACAGCAAGUUCACGAUUUGUAUUGCAUCAAGCGGUGAACCUUCGAAGACUAACAGAACCAAGAUUAUCGCCCUGCUCUGUUGGGAACCUGUUUCUGUGGGCAACCGCCGCUUAUAAUAUGGAGCAUGCAGCUGAAAUGGAGCUGCAUGGAUUGGUGGCACGUAUGAAGCAAGCUGUGGGGAAAAUCAAUAGUGAGUACUUAAAAACAUUACAUGGUGAUGAAGGGUUUCCAAAAGUGUGUGAGUAUAUAAAGAGAAUCGAAGAGGUCUCUGCCCACAAAAAUUUGGAAGCCUUCACAUUUUCCAGUUGGGUCAAAUUUGGUUUCAAUGAAGUUGAUUUUGGGUGGGGGAAUCCAAUUUGGAGCGGCAUUUUUGGAGAAGUCGGUUCUAAUUCUUUCCGAAAUUUGACAUUUUUUAAGGAAACAAGAAGUGCUAAUUAUGAUAAUGCAGUGGAGGCAUGGGUGACAUUAGAUGAAAAAAUAAUGUCUCUAUUGGAGCAUGAUCCUCAGUUUUUGGCCUUUGCUUCGCCGAAUCCGAGCAUAUUAUUGUUUGAUGUUUGUCGAUUCUGAAAGUUUUUUUGUUCAUGAUGGAUGACACUGGCUAGCUAGCUAGUGGCUACUACUAAGCAACUGAUGGUGGUGAUAGAUUUUGAAGAUGGCAAGUAGCUGAGUUAUUCGAAAUGCAUGCAUGUACUGCGACAAAAUAAAGGUUGAUAUUGUAAAAAUAAAUAAAUAAAUAAAAGCGAUAAUAUAUAACAUCCGGAUCCCUGUUUUUGUUUUUCUUUUUUUUUUAUUGAUUUUACAAGUUACGGAAUAAAUUUAUGUAUUUGUUUUCCAGUCAACAGAUGCACUAAAAAAAGAAAAAAAAAAACAUGAAUUUUGAUGGAUAAAUUGUCAAGUCUCAACUAUAUGAUGGGUACUUGCAUCAUUUUCAUAGGUUCUACUAAAAGAAACAAUUAGUUUGAACUGGCACGAAAGUAGCAGGCCGAUAAAAAGCAUAUAUAACUAAGUCAGCCCCCAAGAUUGUGGUCGGUGGUUUCAACUAUAUGAUGGGUACUUGGAUCAUAUUCAUAGGUAAUAGUAGACCAAAAAAUAAAUGGAUUGAGCAAAAAAUAAAUCGAUUUUAAAAAAAUCGAUUAGUUUAAUUAAAAAUAAAAAAAUAAAAUAAAAAAUAAAAAAUGAAAGAACGAAUCAAACCGAAACCGAAUCCAAUUAUGUUUGGUUCAAUUUAUACUUUUUGGUAAGUUAAUUCAGUUUAUGUCAAUUCCACAAAAGCUAAACCAAAUUGAAUCGUGCCCCACCCUUACUUCAUCAUCUCAUAACCUAAUUCCUAUUUAAACCCCAUUAGAGGUCAGUCCUACUAGCAGCGAAACCACUUGCAUGUCUAAGGGCUAAGGUCACCCCAAAUUUUAAAUAAUUUUUAGAAUGUUAUUUUAGAAUUGGGUGAAAUGUAAAUACAUAGAGAAAUUACCAAUAUCGACAUUGCAAUAUUUUGAGAACACAUGUAUAUGUAUGACAAGUAAUCUAAUCUAUUAAAGGGAUGAUGAUUUCCUCACAAGAAUAAAUGGCAGGAGAUUUUGAAAAGGUGAAAGAAUUGUAAAAUUUCCUUUUAACAUAUAAUUGAAUUAGAUGAUAUAAGAUAUCAAUUACUUUAUAUAUUUUUUCAUAUAUUUUAAGAUUUGAAUCAUAUUUAUGUUUUUUUUAUUACAAUAUUUUUUUUAAAAAAUUUUGGAGUUCAAAUUUGUCCUACCAAUUAACCCUCAACCAAAAAUCCGAACUCAUAAAUACAUAUCGGCCUCGCCAAACAAAAGUUUUUAUUCUGAUUGCUCACCAAAACCCCUCUCUUAAUUUGUACAUUACAAAAUGGAACUUGGUAUUGUCUCAAGAGAAGUUGUGAGGCCAUCUUCACCCCAAUCCCCAUGUCCAUCUUUUAAAACCAUUCAAAAUUUCCUCUUUUAGAUCAACUCACUCCCACAACUUUUACUCCACUCGUCCUCUUUUACCGCAUGAGAAAUACGCAUCUAAAGGGUACCCAAAUCUCAACUCGACUCAAAGAGUCACUCUCAAAAACCCUAGUCCAUGUUCACCCUUUUGCAUGGAAGAUUGAGAGACAAUCUCAUCAUCAACGAUUAAGAUGAGGGAGUUCCAUACAUAUAUUGAAACCCGAGUGAACACUCAUUGGUUUGAGUUUCUUCAAAAUCCUCCAAUGAAACUAUUGAACCAAUGAGCUAUUUCAACUAUUAAAGUAAAAUAAAAUAAAAUUUGAAAAAUUGAAUCGAACUGGAGCAGAGUCCAAUUUGGUUUGGUUCGAUUUAUAUUCUUUGAUAAGUUAAUUCAGUUCAUGUCGAUUCCGCAAAAGCUAAACUGAACUGAAUCGUGCCCCACCCUUACUUCAUCAUCUCAUAAACUAGUUCCUAUUAAACCCCAUUAGAGUUAGAGGUCAGUCAUGCCAGCGGCCACUAUAAGAAAAGUAGUCGUUUUCGACUAUAGUUAAAUAUGGUUGCUAAUAGAGCAAUUUUCAACCAUAAAAAUUAGGAUAGCGACAAAAAAUAAAACAGCUAUAUAGUUUUUCUAAUGAAAAUAACACUGUUGAAAAUAACUUCAAAGUCGGUUGAUAAUAAGUUUAUUUUAGAGAGAAAUUUUAGUGCGAUUAGCAUUUAUAACCACUAUAAGUAACACAUUGGAAAUGUAUAAUUAAUUUCUACUGUUUCAAAAACAUAGUCAAAAAUAAAAUAAUAAUUUCAAUUAUUGUAUUUUUUUUGUCAAAAACAGAAAAAUAUUUUAACUGUAACUAAGUGUUGGUUGAAAAAACUAUUCAAAGGAUAUAAAAUUUUAACAUGCAACAUGGGCGCCGAUAAUAUUUUUUACUAAUAUAGCCUGUAAGGUUGGUCAAAGCAAAGUUAUAAGGGUAAGAAAAUAUAAUAUAAAAUUAGAUAUCAUCUAAAGGAAAAGUAAUUGUAAAUCUUUUUCCCUUAGUUUACUAUUUUUUUAAUCAAACAUGAACUAUGUAUUUAAUUAAUUAAUUAAUGUACUUAAUUUAAAAUAAAAUUAACUUCUACAAUGCACAUAGAUUUUGAAUCCUCAACCAAAAAAAUAAAAUAAAUAAAAUGAAAUAUGAAAGUGCCUACCACUUGACCAAGAAGUAAUUUGCAAUGAAUUAUAUAGUAAAUAAUUAUUAAAGGAUCGAUUUUUUUUUAAAGGUUUUACUAGGUGUAACAAUAGAAUUGAAUUACCUUAUUUAACUUACAAGAUACCAUUGAAUUGACUACAACAUAGAUAUAAUGUACUGCGUCUUACAACUAAACAUCAAUCGACUUCAAAAUAGCACUGUAGUUCAAGAAAACUCUAUAAGAUAUAUGAUCCCAUUCAAUCUUAUAGACAAACUUGAAACUUACGAUAAUAUUUAAGUCUCAAUUGUAUUAAUUGUUAUCAUUGAAUCAAUUUAGAGAUUAAUUAUCGAACUAAUUGGUAUUUUAUAGCGAAGCAUUUAGAAAUAAUGUCUAUGAUUGAUCAUAAUUUUCGUUAAAUCAAUUUGGAGACUAGCUGAUUUUCAAAUUAAUGUAAUUAUAUAGUGACAAUUUUGAUAAAUAGAGGUUAAUAGUUUUCAUAAAUGUAUUAUACUAUUAAUUGUGGAACAUGGAACAUAACUUCUUACUUAACAUUCAUUGCAUAUUAAAAAAAUUAGAUAAUUAGUAAUUAACAUUUAAUUAUAGUUGAAAUAUUGUUUAUUAAAUUUGUUUAAUUGUCUAAUAACGGUUAUACAAUUAAUUUCAACAUAUAAUAAGAACUAUUGCAAUAAUUUAUUUAUAUUUUGAAACAUGGCUUAAUUAUGAAUUAUUAAAACUAACACAGCUUCAUAGUUUUGGUGUCAAUAUCUAUUUUUAUCUUUUGUUUACCUUACUAAUUUGUCAUUUAAAUUUAAAAGCUAUGUUAAAGAUGUUUAAUCAAUCAAUUUAGGCUAGAGAGUAAUUAAACAAUCUAGUAAUCACGUAAUAGAUAUUAUAUAUAACUGUUCAAUUAUAACAAAAUUUAAAUUUACAUUAAUAAGAUAAGAAGUUUCGUUUUGCAAUUAAUCAAAUCAUACGCUAAUAAUUUUCAAUAUUUAUCUAUAUAAAAUAAGCAAUGUAGGAUAAGUAAAUUAAUUGAUUUUUUUUAAUUUGAAAAUCUUUUAUUAUCUGUAGUAAUUGUUUGGUUCGCUUAAUUGCUAUAUAUAAUGCCACCUAACUAAAGAUUUUAGUACAAAUAAUAUGUUUACGCUAACUCACGUUCUCCAUUCUCUUUAACGAAUUUCUCAACCAGCUACCGAAUCCUAUCACUUAAUAGAAUAAAAAAAUAUUAAAUAAAUAAAAGCCACCGAUAUUAAGCGGAAUGGAUGAAUUCAUCACCUCUUCUUUUGUAUUAUCCAUCUCUCCAAAGCUUUCAACUCUCUUUUAGGGACAUUUUCUUAAUUCUUUUAAAUUAAGUUUUAUAAAAUUUGGGGAGAUGUUUUUAGAUAUUUUAUUUUUCAAUCACUUUUAAUUUAUUAAGUUUGACAUCAAUUGUUGGCUUCACCAUUACAAAGGCCGGUUUGAAGCUUUUUCUGUCAGAUUGUUUGGUGAGAAUUAUCUGAUUAAUUAUGGCUUGCAGGUAAGAAUUAUUAUUAUUAUUUUUGUUCAUGUUUUUAAUUUAUUGGAUUUUAAUUCACAAUUUAUUAUAUAACAAGCGAAAAAGAGACGUCAAUUAGGAUAGAUUCAUUUUCUUGUUUAGUAAAUCGGCUUUCUACUUUAAUUUAAUUGUAUUUUUUUUUAUUGAUAUGCGGGAAUCAAGAGCUCAGAAAGAAAAAAAAAAUUAUGAUAUUCAACUUUCACAAGGAUUCAGUUGCUUAAUCCACAUUGAUUCUAUCUUUCAUCAACACCAAAAUAUCAUUAUCGUAAUGUGGUGUAGCUUUGGGUGUAUUAUAUUUUAUUUAAGUAUUUAUCAAUGAUUCAUUGAUUAAUCCAUGUUUAUUUUAUCCUUUAGCCACACUAAAUCAUUGUAGUGGUGUCCUAUUGCUUUUGGUAUAUCAUUGGUAUUUGUAUAAAGUGCACAUGUAUUUGUUGAAAUUAUUUGUAAAAGAAUAUUAAUUUGUCAUUGAUUCAUUGAUUACUAAGUCAUUCUAUUAGUUGCACAUGUAUUUGUUGAAAUUAUCUAUAAAAGAAUAUUUGUCAUUAAUUCAUUGAUUACUAAGUCAUUGUGGUAUCACUGUGUAGCUUUUGGUGUAUUAUUUGUGUUUGUUUAAGCUGCACAUGCAUUUGUUGAAAUUAUUUGUAAAAGGAUAUUUGUCAUUGAUUCAUUGGUUAUUAAGUCAUUGUAGUAGCUGCACAUGUAUUUGUUGAAAUUAUUUAAAAGAGUAUUUGUUGUUGAUUCAUUGAUUAUUAAGUCAUUGUAGUAGAAUUGUGUAGCUUUUAGUGUAUUAUUUGUAUUUGUUUAAGCUGCACAUGUAUUUGUUGAAAUUAUUUGUAAAAGAAUAUUUGUCAUUGAUUCAUUGAUUAUUAAGUCAUUGUAGUAGCUGCACAUGUAUUUGUUGAAAUUAUUUAUAAAAGAAUAUUUGCCCAUUCAUUCAUUGACUUUUUUUUUUCUAGAAGCUAUUAAAAAAUCAACUUUAACUAUAUAUUUGUCUAUUGAUUCAUUAUUUUUUUAGACAAUUAAUAAAAUGAUCAUUUUAACUAUCAAGUCGAAUAAAAUAAAUUUCAACAAUCAUCGUCCUGGAAAUACUAAAAUUCAAUUCGAAAUAUAAUUUAUUCCAACUAACAUGACAUAUUUUCGAUUGCAUAAUCAAUUAGAACUAAUAUUUUUUCUAUUGUAAUUUUUUUUUAUUGUGUUUGCCCCCUGAAAAAUAGUGUAUUUUAACGAUAAUUAGUUAGUUGAAAUUGAUAUUGCAAAUACAACCGCUAGAGAAAAUCGAAAACAAUAAAGUGGUUAUAAAUAUCAGUCAUUAGUCGCAUGUUUAUAUUAAUUUUCAAUCUAUAUUUAUAUAUUUAUUAUGGUUAAUUUCGCUCGAAUUAAGCAUAUUUACGACUGCUGUUGAAAAAAGUAUAUUUUUAAUCUGGGUAUUAGCGACUGCCGACGACUGCCUGUGGCCAUCGGAAAAAUACAUUUUUCAACAGCAUGACACUUAUUUCAACUGCAGUCAUAAAAAAAUAUUUUUUCUUGUAAUGAGUGGAACCACAUGCAUGUCUAAGGGCUAAGGGCACCCCAAAGUUUAAAUAACUUUUAAAAUGUCAUUUUGGAAUGGGGUGAGAUGUAAAUACAUUGAGAAAAUACCAAUAUCGACUUUACAAUAUUUUGAGAACACAUGUACACGUAUGACUAUUUAAUUUAAUCUAUUAAAUAGAUGACGAUUUCCUCACAAAAUUAAAUGAUAGAUGAUUUUGGAUAGAUGAAAGAAUCGUAAAAUUCCCUUUUAAUGUAUAAUUGAGUUAGAUGAUAUAAGAUAUCAGUUAUUUUAUAUGUUUUUUUUCAUCUAUUUUAAGAUUUGCAAUAUUUUUUUUUAAUUUUUGGAGUUUAAAUUGCUGGAUCUUUAAGUUAGCAUUGUUGGAUCCUUAAUCCAACGUUAAACUUAUAUGUGAAUAAUUAUGUACUCCAUACUGACAUAUAAUGGUAAGUUCAAUGAAAAGUGAUCUGUUAGGAUUUUUGGUAAUAUAAGCUUUAAUGUAUCUGAUAUGGUGUGAGCCUUUAAUGUGUAGAGACUUAAAAGUAAUUUUUAUUUUUAUGAUGGGCUAAAAUAAUAAUAACUAAAGAUAACAAGAAAAGUUAUCUAUAUAAGUGAUCAUGGUCACCAAGUGUCACAUAUCAUUAUAUUCUUUCUGACAUCCCAUCAUAAGAGAGAGAGCAUAGACAAAUUUAAAAUAUUCUCUAAGAGAAUAUAUUCACCUAGAAGAUAAACUACAUGACUCUAGAGAGUAAUUAUGCAUUAUGGAUACAAGUACGCUUCCACAUAUUUUGUUAUUAAUUCUUGAUAAUACACCAUGAAUGUUCCUAGGUUAUAGAUAAUGAUUUUCACCAAAAGAUUUCUUUUCUCACACAAAUUUGUCCUACCAAUUAACCCUCAACCAAAAAUCCAAACUCAUAAUACAUGUCGGCCUCGCCAAAUAAAAAUUUUGAUUCUGAUUGCUUCCGCACAACCCACUAAAGUUAAAUUCGGGUAAACGUUAACUCCAUAUAUAUAUAUAUAUAUAUAUAUAUAUAUAUAUGGAGAGAGAGAGUUCAUCCACACCUCAAUAUAUCCACUUAUUGUUAUUAUUGAAGCAAAGGAGAUUGAAACACAGGUACUUUUCUAUUUAUAUGUGUACACUAAAACCUCUCUCAUAAUUUGUACGUUACCAACAUGGAAAUUGGCAUUGUCUCAAGAGAAGUUGUGAGGCCAUCUUCACUCCAUGUUCAUCUUUUAAAACCAUUCAAAAUUUCUCUUUUAGAUCAACUCACUCCCACAACUUUUGCUCCACUCGUCCUCUUUUACCCCAUGAAAACUACACAUCUAAAGGGUACCCAAAUCUCAACUCAGCUCAAGGAGUCACUCUCAAAAACCCUAGAACACUUUUACCCUUUGGCCGGAAGAGUGAGAGACAAUCUCAUAAUCAACGAUUAUGAUGAGGGAGUUCCAUACAUUGAAACCCGAGUGAACACUCACUUGUUUGAGUUUCUUCAAAACCGUCCAAUGGAACUACUGAACCAAUGUCUCCCAUACCCUCCAUUUAGUCACCAACCAAAUCCACAUCAAGUUCCCCAAGUAGCUGUGCAAUUGAACACAUUUGAUUGUGGUGGCAUAGCACUUGGCUUGUGCUUCUCACAUAAGAUCAUUGAUGGUGGCACAGCAAGUGCUUUCCUCAGAAGUUGGGCUGCAAAUACUCGUGGAGGUUACCAUAAAGCAGUGAAGUACGAAAACUUAUCUCAGGCAUCAAUGAUUUUCCCUCCUCAAAACCCUUCGCCGAAUCAUCAGUACUUAUCCCUAAUGGAAAAGAUUUGGUUCAGAGAAGCCAAGUACAAGACAAGAAGAUUCGUGUUUGACGCGAAGGCCAUAGCAACCCUAAGGUCUGAAUGCAAAGGCGAACGUGUCCCUAAUCCAACGCGCACUGAAGCAUUGUCAGCAUUCAUACUGAAGUCGACCAUGCUAGCUUUAAGAUCAACAGCAAGUUCACGAUUUGUAUUGCAUCAAGCGGUGAACCUUCGAAGAUUAACAGAACCAAGGUUAUCGACUUGUUCUGUUGGCAACCUGUUUCUGUGGGCAACCGCAGCUUAUGACAUGGAGCAUGCAGCGGAAAUGGGGCUGCAUGGAUUGGUGGCACGUAUGAGGCAAGGUGUGGGGAAAAUCAAUAGUGAGUACUUAAAAACAUUACAUGGUGAUGAAGGGUUUCCAAAAGUGUGUGAGUAUAUAAAGAGAAUGGAAGAGGUUUCUGCCCACGAAAAUUUAGAAGCCUUGAAAUUUUCCAGUUGGGUCAAAUUUGGUUUCAAUGAAGUUGAUUUUGGAUGGGGGAAUCCAAUUUGGAGCGGCAUUUUUGGAGAAGUUGGCUCUAAUUCUUUCCAAAAUGUGACAUUUUUUAAGGAAACAGGAGGUGCUAUUUAUGAUACUGCAGUGGAGGCAUGGGUGACGUUAGAUGAAAAAAUAAUGUCUGUAUUGGAGCAUGAUCCUCAGUUUUUGGCCUUGGCUUCGCCUAAUCCGAGCAUUAUUGUUUGACGUUUGUCGAUUCUGAAUUUUUUAUGUUCCUGAUGAAUCGUGAUGGAUGAUACUGGCUAGCUAGUGGCUACUACUAAGCAAUUGAUGGUGAUGGUAGAUCUUGAAGGUGGAAUGAAAUGCAUGCAUGUGCUGCGAUAAAAUAAAGGUCGAUCUUGUGAAAAAAAAUAAAAGGGAUGAUAUGUAACAUCCGGAUCCCUGUUUUUUAUUGAUUUUAAAAGUUACGGUAUAAAUUUAUGUAUUUGUUUUUCAGUAAAUAGAUCCAUAAGAAAAUAAAAAAUAAAAAGCUCGUGAAAUGUGAUGGUUUAAUUUUCAAAUAAAAAUAAAAAAAUUGGUUUGAACAGGCACGAAAAUAGUAGGCCAACACAAAAGCAUAUAUAAAUAAUUCAGCCCCAAGCUUUUGGUUGGUGGCUUUCAAGUAUAUGACAG
rnacentral:lncRNA from 1 species